UGGGGAAUUUUGGACAAUGGGCGAAAGCCUGAUCCAGCAAUGCCGCGUGUGUGAAGAAGGCCUUCGGGUUGUAAAGCACUUUUGUCCGGAAAGAAAUCCUUGGCUCUAAUACAGUCGGGGGAUGACGGUACCGGAAGAAUAAGCACCGGCUAACUACGUGCCAGCAGCCGCGGUAAUACGUAGGGUGCAAGCGUUAAUCGGAAUUACUGGGCGUAAAGCGUGCGCAGGCGGUUUGCUAAGACCGAUGUGAAAUCCCCGGGCUCAACCUGGGAACUGCAUUGGUGACUGGCAGGCUAGAGUAUGGCAGAGGGGGGUAGAAUUCCACGUGUAGCAGUGAAAUGCGUAGAGAUGUGGAGGAAUACCGAUGGCGAAGGCAGCCCCCUGGGCCAAAUACUGACGCUCAUGCACGAAAGCGUGGGGAGCAAACAGGAUUAGAUACCCUGGGUAGUCCACGCCCUAAAACGAUGUCAACUAGUUGUUGGGGAUUCAUUUCCUUAGUAACGUAGCUAACGCGUGAAGUUGACCGCCUGGGGAGUACGGUCGCAAGAUUAAAACUCAAAUGAAUUGACGGGGUCAUAGCUGUUUCCU
rnacentral:rRNA from 1 species